CCUACGGGUGGGCGGAUGAGUGUACCCGAAGAAAAAGCAUCGGCUAACUCCGUGCCAGCAGCCGCGGUAAUACGGAGGGUGCAAGCGUUGUCCGGAAUCAUUGGGCGUAAAGAGUUCGUAGGCGGUAUGUUAAGUCUGGUGUUAAAUGCAGAAGCUCAACUUCUGUUCGGCACUGGAUACUGGCAAACUAGAAUGCGGUAGAGGUAAAGGGAAUUCCUGGUGUAGCGGUGAAAUGCUUAGAUAUCAGGAGGAACAUCGGUGGCGUAAGCGCUUUACUGGGCCGUAAUUGACGCUGAGGAACGAAAGCCAGGGUAGCAAAUGGGAUUAGAUACCCCUGUAGUC
rnacentral:rRNA from 1 species